CAGGAUGGAGCUGGGGAGAAACCCCUUCUGCCAAUCUCACCUUCGUUGUUUACAAACAAGGGCUGGGGACACACUGAGUUCCCAUAGCACACACGUCCCCAAUCCCAGAAACUUUAUUCUUCUGACCAAAAAUCAGAACUCACAAUCUGAAAUCUGAUGGAACAAUAAGCCGAAGAAGGGAAACCAGGUUGUCCUGGAAAGAAAACUUCGGAGGUGUGGGCCAAACAGAGGGCACCAUCUCCCCGUGUCCUAGGAAGCUCUCUGCAUCAGGACCCUCCCACCCAUCCUGCCACCCACUCCAGAAGCAGAGAAGACAGCCCUUGAGAUGGGGAUCAGUGGAGGAAGAUAUUUUCUGCGAAGGAUAUGGUCAAGGUCGUGAGCUAAUAUGGACCCAGAGGUUUUUAAAGGGCUUUUAAAUGAAUGAUUUCUUCUAGGCCUCACUGCUUUUCACAGGAAAGGCGUGUCGGAGGCUCUUGGCAUGGAGGACUGAGAAUCAGGAAUAGGGAAGGCACCCAGCGAAGGGCUAAGGCCCAGCACUGAGGUAGAAGUUGUGGAUUGGGGAGGGGGGUUCGGGCUCAGGUUGCAGUCAAGGAGGGAGUAGGGGCCAGGGAAGUUCCCUGUAUCCCAGAAGACACUCAGACAUUGUUCUACCACAGUACUUCUACCACCAGUCCAAGAACAGACCUGGGCUCAGGGUGUAGUGCCUGUCACUGCUACAGUCCCACUCCAGCCUGGGAGACCUCCCCACUGCUCCCCACUCCACCCCACCCCCAACUGGCAAGGUUGCAGAGGCAGCAGGGAUUGGUUGCUAUGCAGCAGGCAUCUCUGAAGGAGAGCGUGAUGCAGAUGGAGGCCCCAGGGAGGGUGCUCCCAGGGAGGGUGGAUGGAGAGGACAGGGGAAGGCAGCAGACUUUCUCCUGAACUGAAAUUCCUCCCAAGUCUCUGCAGUCAAACCCUGAGGGAACAUCUGAGUCACCUGCCCCACUCCUCUGAAACCUGAGAGAAAAGCCCCACGUGAUGAAAGGAAAAAGGACCCGCAAGAGGAGGACACCCAAACUCCAUUCCAGACCCCAGCCAGGAACAGAUGGGACCUUCAAUUCCAGCCUCGGUUCAAGAUCCUGUCAGAGGCAAGGUUGGAGAGAGGUGGGAGGGGUAAGUGGGCUGGCUGAGAUCCCACAGCUGGAGCUUUCCAAACCUUGGCAAGGGGGUGGUUAUGGGGUCCCCUUCUCAGCUUUGACCUCAUUGAGUGAACUUUAUUGCCUGUGCAUACACUCUUAGUCAUCCUGCAUCCCUCCCCUGACUUCACUGGCUUGCUCUCCAUAAAACUUCAGCUCUCCCCACCACCACCCCACAACAUCUCUCUCAGCCCCCAACCCAUGCCCCCAGAGUCUCUCAAACCAUCAGUCUCAAAACUUCCAAGAAUCUUUAUUGAACUUGCUCAGCAUCAAGCACAUGUCUGAAGGAGCCAGGGUGGGGCACUGUGCCCACUGGCGACAGGGAAGGCCCCAGCUGGCAGAACCCCCAACCACAUCAGAGAAGCUUUCAUUUCUUCCUGGGCUGCUUAUCUGGGAAGCCUUCAAAGAAUUCAUUACACAUCAUGGCGAUGCAGGA